rnacentral:lncRNA from 1 species
UAAGUUAGAACUCAAAACAAACAAACAAAAAAAGGAACUUUCAAUGGACUUUCAGUGGACUGCCUGGAUGAAAUCUAUGAAAAAUAAAAAUAAUUGGGAUUUGGAGUUUCCAUUGUGGCUCAACAAGUUAAGGACUUGACAUUUUCUCUGUGAGGAUGAGUUUGGAUCCCUGGCCUCACUCAGUGGGUUAAGAAUUUGGUGUUGCUGGAGUUCCUGUCAUGGCUCAGUGGUUAACGAAUCCAACUAGGAACCAUGAGGUUGUGGGUUCGAUCUCUGGCCUUGCUCAGUGGGUUAAGGAUCAGGCGUUGCCGUGACCUGUGGUGUAGGUUGCAGACGCAGCUCGGAUCCCAAGUUGCUGUGGCUCUGGCUAGGGUUGGUGGGCACAGCUCUGAUUCGACCCCUAGCCUGGGAACCUCCAUAUGCCUCAGGCACAGCCAUAAAAAGAAAAUAAAUAAAUAGGAUCUGAUUAAAUAAAGAGGAAAAUGUUAGCCUAGUACAGUAGGAGCAGUUGGGAGAACACAACCUCAAAGGAAGAAGUGGCAUUGCUGUAGCAGCGAGGAGCAAGGGGGCAGGGGGCAGGAGAAACUGUCCAGGGCGUAAAGUUGAGACCAGGCACAAGGUCAGUGAGUUGGUUUGAACUCAUGAGACAGAAAUAUAUGUAAGGAAAAGGCAGUCCACUCAAUAAAUGCUGAGAGAAAAUUUGGAUAAAUAUUUAGGGAAAAAAUUAUCUGAUUCCAUUCUUCACAUGUUAACAACUAAAAAGUCUAGUUGUAUCAAAAUUAUAAACUUAGAAGAAGAAAUAUAAUUUGUUUAUGCCUUUAGACGAGAACCCCAUCUAUAGAAGAAGCAAUGAACAAAAAGCAAAAGAUAAACGAAUAAAGAAAAUUAAACCACAGAUUAUGCCAAAAAGGGAAAAAGAUGACAAUAGUGAAUUAAAAUAGUAAGAAAAAAAAUGUUUGCAGCAUAUAUGACUGUUAUUAUCCAAAAUACAUAAAGCAUUUCAAAUUAACAAGAAAAACAAAAUCAUGUACUAGUGAAAGCAUAUAAACAUGUGAUUUAUUAAAAGGAAAUAUGGAUCACCGAUGCAAAAAUUAGAUUGAGCAUAUUUAAUUGCAUUGGUUCAAUCUUACAAGUAAUAUAGAAGAUACUAUCUUUCACUCAUCAAAAUCACACCCACAAAUAGUUAAAUUUUAUAGGAAAUUGAAAGAAGUGUGGUAAAAUGUGCAUUUUACUUCCCCAUAUCCCUGGUAUCCCUACUUCUCCGUAUCAACAAGGAGCUCCAUAGCAUAUUAGUGACUUAAAAGAAAUAGCAUGUUGCUUUCAAACAAAUGGCCAUGUGAUAUCUUUUAUAUAAAAUAUGAAAUAAAUAUGCACAAUGAUACCUUACAUUUCCUACAGGAGGAUACAUGGAUGCAAGUGCGUGAACAAGAACUAGGAACAUGUAAACUGAAUGGUUGUAGUGGUUAUUUCUGAGGAGCAGGAAGAAUAAAACAAGCCAUGGUGGACAAACAGGACCUUAGCUUUACCUGUUAAAUGGAGUUUCCAUUUUACUAGGAGUACAUAUUCACAUAGGCAUAGAUAUAGGUCAAACAUUAAUAGAAAUUAUCUCUGGAAUGGGAUGUAUGAGUAAUUUUGAAGUCUCCUGCUUUUUGCUUAUUUAUAUAUUCUGUAUAUUUUCUAGUGUGUAUUUCUUUUGUAAAGGUAUAUCUAUUUUAAAAUUUUACAUAAGCUUUACCGCACACACAGUGUAGGCACAGUAACAGAUGAUAUCAUGUUUGUUGUCCUAUAAAAGUUACAAUCUACUGAAGACAUAUGGACUCAAAGAACUGGGCUAGUUAUGUGUGAGCAGACUGUUGUCUUUGCUGUUAUCUUUUCCUUUGGGAGAAUAGCUCUAUCCUGUACUUUUCUAAGAAAAUCUGUUGACAGGUACAUGGUCUUGCCCUAUAGGCACCUUAGUAAGCCUUAGAGAAGGAUACUUACUGCAAAAGAUCAGAAAAAAAUUCCCCGGGAGAGAGAGUUUUUGAUAAACUAUUGUUGUUAUAGCCACCACCUCCCUUCAAAAUGAUAAUGAAAAACCACUUCUCCCUGCAUAAGAUGUGCAGAUAUUUCCUAGAUUGUGUAGAUUUCUUGAUAAUAUGUAGUUCAUAUAGACUAUUCUAAGUCAUUCCAAACUCAUCUUCUAAACACAGUGAAAGAAUGUGUCUUGAGAAAAGUUUGUACCACAUUUAUAGACUCUAAAACUUUGUGAUAUACUUAUUCCUAAAAAUAAUUCUAAUUAUAGCUACCAACAUAAACAUUUACAUAUUUUUUUCUAAACCUAAUUAUACUUCCAUAGAAUUUACAGAGCAUCUUAAAUUCAUCUUGUUCAAGUUUUUCAUGGAAGGAGUUCCUGUCAUGGUUCAGCGGUUAAUGAACCCGACUAGCAUCCAUGAGGACUCAGGCUCAUUCAGAGAGUUAAGGAUGUGGCGUUGCCAUGAGCUGAGGUGUAGGUCACAGACGUGUCUCAGUUCUGGUGUUGUUGUGGCUGUGGCAUAGGCCAGAGGCUACAGCCCCAAAUCAAUUCCUAGCCUGGGAACUUCCAUAUGCCAUGGGUGCGGCACUAAAAAGAUUAAAAAAAAAAAAAA